CUGGCAGUUGCUGAGUUCGGAAGAUUAACUCUGAAUGUGGAGAGAUUAUUUUCUUGCUCGUAAACCUGGUUUACAUAUUUUCAUUCUUAAUGCUCAGUAAUCUUAAGGAAAGUCACCUGAAAGAAUACUUUUUCACCAAGUACUCUUCUGCGCCUGUUUGAAGGUGUCUGUGUGCUUGUGAAGCGCUCCCUUGUUAGUUCCUUCUGUGAGACUCGGGGGAGACUGAAGAGGGAAAUCACCUGCGGGGAAUGAACAGGAAAGCAAUAAGAAGAUUUGGAAAAGAGGCACUGGCUACUGGAGGAAGGGAGAAAUCACCGAGAGAGCGAAAGAUGUAACAGAUGCAGUGACUCAUGCCUAUAAUCCCAGUACUUUGGAAGGUCAAGGCACAAGGAUCCAUUGAGGCCAGGAGUCCAAGACCAGCCUGCACAAUGUAGCAAGACUCCUUCUCUACAAAAAAAUAAAUAAAAAUUAGCCAGGCAUGGUGGUGCACUCCUGUAGUCCCAGCUACUCAAGAGGCUGAUGUAGAGAAUCGCAUUAUCCCAGAGGUCAAGGCUGCAGUGAGCCGUGAUCAUGCCUCUGCACUCCAGCCUGGACGAUAGAGCAAGACUUUAUCUCAAAAAACAAAAAUUUAAAAAGAUAUCAGGUAGCUCAUAGAAUUGUUGAGAGGGCUGUAAAACCAGGCUUGAAC
rnacentral:lncRNA from 1 species